rnacentral:rRNA from 1 species
AAUGGAUUGAGAGCUUGCUCUCAAGAAGUUAGCGGCGGACGGGUGAGUAACACGUGGGUAACCUGCCCAUAAGACUGGGAUAACUCCGGGAAACCGGGGCUAAUACCGGAUAACAUUUUGAACUGCAUGGUUCGAAAUUGAAAGGCGGCUUCGGCUGUCACUUAUGGAUGGACCCGCGUCGCAUUAGCUAGUUGGUGAGGUAACGGCUCACCAAGGCAACGAUGCGUAGCCGACCUGAGAGGGUGAUCGGCCACACUGGGACUGAGACACGGCCCAGACUCCUCGCGGAGGCAGCAGUAGGGAAUCUUCCGCAAUGGACGAAAGUCUGACGGAGCCCCGCCGCCCCCGUGAUGAAGGCUUUCGGGU